rnacentral:lncRNA from 10 species
CACCCAAGCCAGAAACAGCAACCCUUCUGGGUCCCCUUCCACCACGCAGAAGCUUUACUUUCGCUUUCACUUUACUUUUGCUUUCACUUUAACAAAUCUUGCAGCCGCACACUCUUUGGGUCCGCCCGUUUCUCUAAUCAAGUUGUAACACUCGCUGCUGUGGUCCACAGCUUCAUUCCUUGAAGCCCGUGAGACACGAACGCUUCCAUUGAGAAAAACCUUCCAUCAGAAGAAGACUUCUCGUCUCAGUGGGACUGCUGAGUUGAAUGGUGCUUUUUUUUCUGAAGCUUUGGUAGUGUAACUGUAAGAGUCCUGGAAUUGGAAAAGCAAAUCCAGAAGUUGAGUUCCAUGACUUUUUUGCUGUUUGCCUUUGGACUUGCAUCAUUUAUAUUUUUAAUUCAUCGAGGAUGAGAAAAUUGAUUAACACAAAAUCUUUUCAUGUCUUUUCUGAUGAGAGACUAGCUGAAUCCAAGAAGAGAAGCCCUUGAAGAGUGUAUUCUAUUCUAGACAAGCAUUCACACAUUGGCUUCUUUGGUGCCAGAUUAAAGAAUGAAGAAAGGAUCAAAUUGAGACAUCCAGGGGGGAAGAGUUCCCUGGCAAAACUCCAAUCUGCCUGAGCACUGAGGUGGAGCCACAGAAGUCCGGGUCAUUUGCACCUGGGAGGAGCCUGGCCCCUCCUCUUCCUGUGUGGAAUCUGGGAUUUAAUCUGUGAGGAGGGAAGGCCAAGGGCAGGAAGCACAGGCUCUCACUUCACUAAGAGUCUCUGUUUCCCCUUUUUUUCCUUUAUGCCUAAUUAAUAAAUCCCAUUUUUCUCACUCUUCAAAUAGUCUUCAAGCCUAAAUUUUCAUGACCAUGGAACAAGGACCCCAUCUUUAGCUGAACUAAGGAAAAGUCCUGCAACAAAAUUCUUUGCUAAAAAUACAUGAGGUUGCCUUUUCCUUCUUAAUCUUAAAAGAAAUAUAUUUCAAUGGUUAACGUUUUAGUAAUUCAAAAAUUAUCAAGCAUUUGUUCACAACCAUAAGAUGUGCAUUGUUUUAUAUUCCUACUUAAUAAUAGACUAUAAUUGUCUAAUUAGACUGCCGAUGUUGAUCUUUGUGGCUCAUUGCAUUGAUUAUAAGCAGUGUUUUGGGUUUGUGUGUGUGUGUCAAAUUUAGGGUUUUUUUGGUAUGGCUGCUGGUUGGUGUAGCCUGUAUCCAGUAUCCUGUAUUAAUUCUAAUAUUUGCAUUUUGAACAUAUUUACAAGUUGCUAAAAUAGCAAAGCUUCGAGAUGAGCCUGGCUGAUAUGGCAAAACCCCGUCUCUACUAAAAAUACAAAAAUUAGCCUGGUGUGGUGGUGCAUGCCUGUAAUCCCAGCUACUUGGAAGUCUGAGGCAGGAGAAUCUCUUGAACCCAGAAGGUGGAGGUUGCAGUGGGCCAAGAUCGCACCACUGCACUCCAGCCUCGGUGAUAGAGCGAGACUACGUCUCAAAAAUAAAAUAAAAUAAAAUAAAAUAAAAAUAGCAAAGCUAUGUAUGGUUUCUCUGAGUUUUGUAAUUUAUCAUUGUUAACUGCAGAAAUUUAUUAUAUGAGACAUAUUAUAUGAGACAUAUAAGUGAAUUUGGAUUGGGUUUAAUUUUAUAUUUUUGAAUAUAGUUCUUCAAGAUAAAUUUUAUCUUAGACCUCAAGAAAUAAAAAUAAAAUAAAUUAGAUAUACAAACGA